rnacentral:rRNA from 1 species
UGGGGAAUCUUGCGCAAUGGGCGAAAGCCUGACGCAGCAACGCCGCGUGAGGGAGGACGGCCUUCGGGUUGUAAACCUCUUUCGACAUCGACGAAGGCCCCCUUGCUUGGGGGGUGGACGGUAGGUGUAGAAGAAGCACCGGCCAACUACGUGCCAGCAGCCGCGGUAACACGUAGGGUGCGAGCGUUGUCCGGAAUUAUUGGGCGUAAAGAGCUCGUAGGCGGUGUGUCGCGUCGGCCGUGAAAACUUGGGGCUUAACUCUGAGCGUGCGGUCGAUACGGGCAUCACUUGAGUUCGGCAGGGGAGACUGGAAUUCCUGGUGUAGCGGUGAAAUGCGCAGAUAUCAGGAGGAACACCGGUGGCGAAGGCGGGUCUCUGGGCCGAUACUGACGCUGAGGAGCGAAAGCGUGGGGAGCGAACAGGAUUAGAUACCCUGGUAGUCCACGCUGUAAACGUUGGGCGCUAGGUGUGGGGCGCAUUCCACGCGUUCCGUGCCGUAGCUAACGCAUUAAGCGCCCCGCCUGGGGAGUACGGCCGCAAGGCUAA